rnacentral:rRNA from 1 species
UUACAAGUGUCACACGGAACUGCCGGUCAUAAACCGGAGGAAGUGGGGGUGACGUCAAGUCAGCAUGGCCUUUAUAUCCUGGGCUACACACACGCUACAAUGGGAAGGGACAAUAGGUUGCGAAGCCGCGAGGUGGAGCCAAUCCAGCAAAACUUCCCUCAGUUCAGAUUGCAGGCUGCAACUCGCCUGCAUGAAGUUGGAGUUGCUAGUAAACGCAGGUCAGCCAUACUGCGUUGAAUACGUUCCCGGGGCUU